AUUGAACGCUGGCGGCAUGCUUUACACAUGCAAGUCGAACGCGAAAGGGGGGCAACUCCUGAGUAGAGUGGCGCACGGGUGAGUAAUACAUCGGAACGUGUCCUGUAAUGGGGGAUAACGCAGCGAAAGCUGUGCUAAUACCGCAUACGUCCUACGGGAGAAAGUGGGGGACCGCAAGGCCUCACGUUAUAGGAGCGGCCGAUGUCGGAUUAGCUAGUUGGUGGGGUAAAGGCUCACCAAGGCAACGAUCCGUAGCUGGUCUGAGAGGAUGAUCAGCCACACUGGGACUGAGACACGGCCCAGACUCCUACGGGAGGCAGCAGUGGGGGAAUUUUUGGACAAUGGGCGCGAAGCCUGAUCCAGCCAUGCCGCGUGAGUGAAGAAGGCCUCGGGUUGUAAAGACUCUUUCGGUCCGGGACGGAAA
rnacentral:rRNA from 1 species